rnacentral:rRNA from 1 species
GACGAACGCUGGCGGCGUGCUUAACACAUGCCAGUCGAACGGAAAGGCCCUGCUUUUGUGGGGUGCUCGAGUGGCGAACGGGUGAGUAACACGUGAGUAACCUGCCCUUGACUUUGGGAUAACUUCAGGAAACUGGGGCUAAUACCGGAUAGGAGCUCCUGCUGCAUGGUGGGGGUUGGAAAGUUUCGGCGGUUGGGGAUGGACUCGCGGCUUAUCAGCUUGUUGGUGGGGUAGUGGCUUACCAAGGCUUUGACGGGUAGCCGGCCUGAGAGGGUGACCGGCCACAUUGGGACUGAGAUACGGCCCAGACUUCUACGGGAGGCAGCAGUGGGGAAUAUUGCACAAUGGGCGGAAGCCUGAUGCAGCAACGCCGCGUGCGGGAUGACGGCCUUCGGGUUGUAAACCGCUUUCGCCUGUGACGAAGCGUGAGUGACGGUAAUGGGUAAAGAAGCACCGGCUAACUACGUG